rnacentral:rRNA from 1 species
GACGAAGGAUGCAAGCGUUAUCCGGAUUCAUUGGGUUUAAAGGGAGCGUAGGUGGCCUUAUAAGUCAGUGGUGAAAUCUCUGGGCUUAACCCAGAAAUUGCCAUUGAUACUGUAGGGCUUGAGUAUAGAUGCCGUUGGCGGAAUAUGACAUGUAGUGGUGAAAUACAUAGAGAUGUCAUAGAACACCGAUUGCGAAGGCAGCUAACGAAUCUAUAACUGACACUGAGGCUCGAAAGUGUGGGGAUCAGACAGG